AACGAACGCUGGCGGCAUGCCUAACACAUGCAAGUCGAACGAGACCUUCGGGUCUAGUGGCGCACGGGUGCGUCACGCGUGGGAACCUGCCCUUAGGUUCGGAAUAACUCCCCGACAGGGGUGCUAAUACCGGAUAAUGUCUUCGGACUAAAGAUUUAUCGCCAUUGGAUGGGCCCGCGUUGGAUUAGCUAGUUGGUAGGGUAAAAGCCUACCAAGGCGCCGAUCCAUAGCUGGUCUGAGAGGAUGAUCAGCCACACUGGGACUGAGACACGGCCCAGACUCCUACGGGAGGCAGCAGUGGGGAAUAUUGGACAAUGGGCGAAAGCCUAAUCCAGCAAUGCCGCGUGAGUGAUGAAGGCCUUAGGGUUGUAAAGCUCUUUUACCCGGGAUGAUAAUGACAGUACCGGGAGAAUAAGCACCGGCUAACUCCGUG
rnacentral:rRNA from 1 species